UUUUAACCGGUGAAGGAUCGAGCAGUAACGCAGGAGGCUACCCUAAUCAGGUGUCGGGUGGACAAGGAGAAGUGCUCGGGUCGGACAGGCAGUAUAAUCAGACUUUCGGGUCGGCUGUGUAUUGCGGACCGGGUCGGCUGUUGUCUCACGUCUCUCAUACUGCCCAUAAUGCCUCUAUUAUGAAUUCUAGUUCUGCAUACAGGCAGUGAGUCUUUUCAUAGAGGAUUCCCGAGGGUUCAUGUUUUGCUUCGAGAAUUUAUUGUUUUUAAAUUGUGGGUCAAGCUUAAACCUGUUAUGGUACUCUAAAUUCUUUUGAUCAAGAGCUUGAGACUCCCGAUGAAAUUUGGAAGUCACACCGAGGAUUUGCAUUCGUGGAAUUCGUCACAAAACAAGAGGCGAGGCGCAGAACGCUGUCAAGGCCCUGUCCAACACUCGCCUUUACGGCCGUCAUCUGGUGAGCUCUUUCAUGAGGGACUCAUCCUCCCUCGCUUCUUUGGCAACGCGAAGGCCAGUGGGAAAGACGGAGUCUAAGCCCGGAUAUCAUACGCACCUAAACUAUCGGCAAGAAGCAACCCCAACCCCACACCCAGAAGGCAGAGAGGACAAUCAUCGAGAUCGGUAGGAUUACUCUCGAAGCGCUUCCAUUUUCUGAGGUUGCUGUAUCGAUCAACAAGGAGCUUGAUGUGAGCUUGAUGUCUCCCAAAGCUUGAUCCACGAGGCAUUUAUGCAUCGCAAGAGAUCCUUGUCUAAUUCCAACUAGAUGAAUACAAAAUGAAAUCUCCUUUCGUAGUC